rnacentral:rRNA from 1 species
AUGUUCUCGAACAGACCUGAUCGGACCGAUCUGCGACGCUAUAGCUUUGGGUACUUUCAGGACCCGUCUUGAAACACGGACCAAGGAGUCUAGCAUGUGCGCGAGUCAUUGGGAAUCACUAAACCUAAAGGCGUAAUGAAAGUAAAGGUCUUCCUCGCGGGGACCGAGGGAGGACGGGCGGUUCGCCCUUAAAAGCGGCCGUUCAGCACUCCCGGGGCGUCUCGUUCUCAUCGCGAGAAGAGGCGCACCAAGAGCGUACACGCUGGGACCCGAAAGAUGGUGAACUAUGCCUGGUCAGGACGAAGUCAGGGGAAACCCUGAUGGAGGUCCGUAGCGAUUCU